UGCUGUCUCCCCAGAGGCCGUGCCUGA
rnacentral:piRNA from 1 species